UUCUGUGGUUUCUUGCUGCCCCCUUGACUGGAUGCAGCAAAUGGCUGUUGCCUGGGACAGCUGGGCCUGGAGUCCUGGCUUCCUGCCGAAAAGGGAGCAGCGGAGAAUUGGGCUCUGGCUUCCGGCUGGGCUGGUGGAUGACCCCUCAGGAUGCUGAAAUCUCCCUCAGCAAUUAGCUGAUGGCUCCAUGAAGAUACUUCACCAUGAGGUGGAACUCACUAAGAAAAAACCAACUGCAAAAAAGGACUUGACCUCAACUGACAUAGCAUGUGGAAGAAUGUGUAUGCAUUGAAAAGCAAUCCAGUAAGCUGACGAAGUUAAUGAAUUUUUAUAGGAAUUCAUUCAAUACCACCCAGUGAGAGUCCAUGCUUUGAAUAUUUGCUCAAAGGCAAUGGGGAAAUGAGAACUUGCUUAUUACCUCUGGUUCUUGAAAGAAAACGUUGUCUCAGAUACAGCUUCCAUUCCUAUUGUUGAUUUUCAUAAACAUUUGGACAUGUUGAGAUUCUUCAUUUAUAUGUUUGUUCAUUUAACUAACAUUGGUUAACUAUCAUGUGACAGGCACCAAUUGUGUAGAAUUGUUACUGGAGAGGCUACACCAAUAUAUGUUCUAGUGUAGUGCCUGAGUGUGGGGGUGAGAGAUCCCUUUUUCUUUUCCUCCUUACCCUCACCUUGACAACUCCUGCCCUUCCAUUUUUCUCUCUACCCUUUUUUUUUCUUUUUUCUAGGAGUUGAGACCUGUCUAAUUGGUAAGAUUAAAUGAAGCUUCAAGUCACAGGAUAGUGCUUCUAAGGGCACAGUCACUAUUAAUUAGAAGUACUUCUCUUGUAUUCUCUUUUAAAUCUAUUUUCCUAUGCAGUAGAGAUAGAAAUUUCAUCUUCUCUCCCCAGUUAGAUAGCUCUUUAUUAAAGAAUUAGUCCUUGGAUAUUCUACCAUUAUCAUAAACAAACUUCCAUAUAUUUACAGGUCUGUUUCUGAAAAUUGUUCUGUUGUAUUACCAUAUACUGGCUAUAUUGUCCAUUUACUUUUCUAAUUAAAACUUAAAAUUUU